rnacentral:pre_miRNA from 1 species
AGCAGGAUUUCUGGGUCCUAUGGAGAGUGUAUGUUUCACUUUAUAAGAAACUGCCAGACUAUUUUCCAAAGUGACUGUACCUUUUGCAUUCCCAUCAGCAAU